GCAGGGGAGAUAACAUGAUCAGGAAGGUGGUUUUCCCAGGGCGAGGCUCUCCCUCUGGCUGUGCUGACCCCUGAAGAUUUCCCCAAAUGUGGGGCACUGC
rnacentral:snRNA from 1 species